CCCGCCACCGCGGAACACUGCAGACCGCGGAGCUGAACCAACAGAAAUCCGUUUCUCCCGGUUCUGGAGGCUGGACGUCUGGGGAUCAGAGUGUCAGCGGGGUUGACUUCUGAGGUCUCUCCCUUUGGUUUGCAGGUACAGCUGCUGGAAGCUGAAAGGCCUCUGACAAGUAGAGGAAGGUAGAAAGGCAGCAGGGCUUCGGCCUGGACCCAGAGGUGAUAGUUCACGUUUGAAGUCAUGCCUAAGAGAAAAAACUCCAGGCCAAGAAAGAUAGUGUGGCUGCUUCCUGGGCACUCUAAGGAAUCAUCCUCAUCGUCAUUAAAGAAGAGGACACCCCACAAUAGGCUCUUGUCCAGCAAGUUCCUCAUGAUUGGGAUUACCACUGUAUCUGGAAGGAGGCUUCCCCGCCCAUCUUGAAACUUGCAGGGGCUGGAGGAGGCUUCGCUGCCCGGUUUGUUCACUAGAUGGCGCUGCUCAGACUGGCUGCGUGGCCUGGAUUCAGCCUGGCUAAGGAAGUCCUCAGUGGACUCCCAUUAAAUACCGACUGUCUUCUGUUAAUUUCCUUUAGGACAAAACAGCACUCCCCUAAGAUAAGAAGUAGGGGGAUUCUUUGAUUUGAAGCAGGAGCGAUUGCUGGAGAAGUGCCUGCUACUGGAUUAGGAAAGAUUCUAGAGCCCACCAGUAUGUUGUCGAUCAUCUUGUCCAUCUGUGGUUUUCG